rnacentral:sRNA from 1 species
GCCAGGCACAGUAGCAUGCACCUGCAGUCCCAGCUACUCAGGUGGCUGAAGCAGGAGGAUGGCGUGAGUCCAGAAGUUCAAGGCCAGUCUGGGCAACACAGUGAGACCCUGCCUCAA